rnacentral:rRNA from 1 species
GGACGAGUGUCACUGGAAGGUGACGCGAAGUGGUUGAUGCCAUGCUUCCAAGAAAAGCUUCUAAGCUUCAGAUACAAAGGAACCGUACUGUAAACCGACACAGGUGAUCAGGUAGAGAAUACCAAGGCGCUUGAGAGAACUCGGGUGAAGGAACUAGGCAAAAUGGUACCGUAACUUCGGGAGAAGGUACGCCGGUUUGGGUGAUGGGACUUGCUCCUUGAGCCUGGGCUGGCCGAAGUGACCAGGUGGCUGCGACUGUUUAUUAAAAACAUAGCACUGUGCAAACACGUAAGUGGACGUAUACGGUGUGACGCCUGCCCGGUGCCGGAAGGUUAAUUGAUGGGGUUAUCUUCGGAGAAGCUCUUGAUCGAAGCCCCGGUAAACGGCGGCCGUAACAAUAACGGUCCUAAGGUAGCGAAAUUCCUUGUCGGGUAAGUUCCGACCUGCACGAAUGGCGUAACGAUGGCCACACUGUCUCCACCCGAGACUCAGUGAAAUUGAAAUCGCUGUUAAGAUGCAGUGUACCCGCGGCUAGACGGAAAGACCCCGUGAACCUUUACUAUAGCUUCACACUGGACUCUGACCUUACUUGUGUAGGAUAGCUGGGAGGCUUUGAAGCGGUGGCGCCAGCCAUCGUGGAGCCAACCUUGAAAUACCAGCCUGGUAAUGUUGGGGUUCUAACUCAGGUCCGUAAUCCGGAUCGAGGACAGUGUGUGGUGGGUAGUUUGACUGGGGCGGUCUCCUCCCAAAGAGUAACGGAGGAGCACGAAGGUGCGCUAAUCACGGUCGGAAAUCGUGAGGUUAGUGUAAAGGCACAAGCGCGCUUGACUGCGAGUCUGACAAGACGAGCAGGUACGAAAGUAGGUCUUAGUGAUCCGGUGGUUCUGUAUGGAAGGGCCAUCGCUCAACGGAUAAAAGGUACUCCGGGGAUAACAGGCUGAUACCGCCCAAGAGUUCACAUCGACAGCGGUGUUUGGCACCUCGAUGUCGGCUCAUCACAUCCUGGGGCUGAAGCCGGUCCCAAGGGUAUGGCUGUUCGCCAUUUAAAGUGGUACGCGAGCUGGGUUUAGAACGUCGUGAGACAGUUCGGUCCCUAUCUGCCGUGGGCGUUGGAGAAUUGAGGGAAGCUGCUCCUAGUACGAGAGGACCGGAGUGUACGAACCGCUGGUGUUCGGGUUGUGUCGCCAGACGCAUUGCCCGGUAGCUACGUUCGGACAGGAUAAGCGCUGAAAGCAUCUAAGCGCGAAGCCCCUCCCAAGAUAAGUUCUCCCUGGCCCCUUGAGGGUCCUGAAGGGCCGUCGAAGACUACGACGUUGAUAGGCUGGGUGUGUAAGCGUUGUAAGGCGUUGAGCUAACCAGUACUAAUUGCCCGUGAGGCUUGACC